AGAUUGAACGCUGGCGGCAUGCCUAACACAUGCAAGUCGAACGGGAGUAGCAAUACUCUAGUGGCGGACGGGUGAGGAAUACGUAGGAAUUUGCCCUUAAGUGGGGGAUAACCCGGGGAAACCCGGAUUAAUACCGCAUGACCUCGAAAGAGCAAAGUGGGGGAUCGCAAGACCUCACGCUUUUGGAGAAGCCUACGUCGGAUUAGCUAGUUGGUGAGGUAAUGGCUCACCAAGGCGACGAUCCGUAACUGGUCUGAGAGGAUGAUCAGUCACACCGGAACUGAGACACGGUCCGGACUCCUACGGGAGCAGCAGUGGGGAAUAUUGGACAA
rnacentral:rRNA from 1 species